UAGCGAGCUAACGCUACGAAAAUAUGCCCUCCUUAGUGAAUCUGUUGCAACUGCUUGCAUUUUUAGAAUGAUUUCGUAGGCUACUUUUUGUAGAAUUGAGGACAUUUUGUUUGAUUUCAUUUCAUGAUAUAACUUUAUAAGGUUCCAGGGAUCCAGAUAGGGGUGUUUUCUGUCGGCUUUGAAACAAACCAUCGGAAAUGAUCCUGUCCCGCGUGAAGCCGGCUGUGGGAGCAGAGACUGAGGGGAGCAUCGGUGAGAAGAAGAAGAAACAAACGGUUCCCAGUUUGGAGGAAUAUCUCCAGCAGAGGGACUACCUGGGAGGCUUAACAUUACUGGAGGAGUAUAAAUCUCUGACCCGG